rnacentral:rRNA from 1 species
GACGAACGCUGGCGGCGUGCCUAAUACAUGCAAGUAGAACGCUGAAGGAAGGAGCUUGCUCUUUCUGGAUGAGUUGCGAACGGGUGAGUAACGCGUAGGUAACCUGCCUGGUAGCGGGGGAUAACUAUUGGAAACGAUAGCUAAUACCGCAUAAAAUUGAUUAUUGCAUGAUAGUCAAUUAAAAGGUGCAACUGCACCACUACCAGAUGGACCUGCGUUGUAUUAGCUAGUUGGUGGGGUAACGGCUCACCAAGGCGACGAUACAUAGCCGACCUGAGAGGGUGAUCGGCCACACUGGGACUGAGACACGGCCCAGACUCCUACGGGAGGCAGCAGUAGGGAAUCUUCGGCAAUGGACGGAAGUCUGACCGAGCAACGCCGCGUGAGUGAAGAAGGGUUUCGGAUCGUAAAGCUCUGUUGUAAGAGAAGAACGAGUGUGAGAGUGGAAAGUUCACACUGUGACGGUAUCUGACCAGAAAGGGACGGCUAACUACGUG